rnacentral:rRNA from 1 species
UACGGAGGGUGCGAGCGUUGUCCGGAAUCACUGGGCGUAAAGGGCGCGUAGGUGGCCCGUUAAGUGGCUGGUGAAAUCCCGCGGCUCAACUGCGGGGCUGCCGGUCAGACUGGCGAGCUAGAGCACGGUAGGGGCAGAUGGAAUUCCCGGUGUAGCGGUGGAAUGCGUAGAGAUCGGGAAGAAUACCAGUGGCGAAGGCGACUACCUGGACCAGCACUGACACUGAGGCACGAAAGCGUGGGGAGCAAACAGG